AAGUCGUAACAAGGUUUCCGUAGGUGAACCUGCGGAAGGAUCAUUACCUUUCUAGUUAUGGGUAGGCUUGUGUUGUUCCAAAAGAACCCUUGCCGCCUUGACUUUACCCUUGUCUAUUGCGUACUCUAUGUUUCCUCGGUGGGCUUGCUCACCGGUAGGACAACCAUUAAACUCUUGCAAUUGCAAUCAGCGUCUGAAAAAACUAUAAUAGUUACAACUUUCAACAACGGAUCUCUUGGUUCUG
rnacentral:misc_RNA from 1 species